rnacentral:rRNA from 1 species
UACUCCUACGGGAGGCAGCAGUGGGGAAUUUUGGACAAUGGGGGCAACCCUGAUCCAGCCAUGCCGCGUGUCUGAAGAAGGCCUUCGGGUUGUAAAGGACUUUUGUCCGGGAAGAAAAGCGCGAUGUUAAUACCAUUGCGUGCUGACGGUACCGGAAGAAUAAGCACCGGCUAACUACGUGCCAGCAGCCGCGGUAAUACGUAGGGUGCGAGCGUUAAUCGGAAUUACUGGGCGUAAAGCGGGCGCAGACGGUUACUUAAGCAGGAUGUGAAAUCCCCGGGCUCAACCUGGGAAUUGCGUUCUGAACUGGGUGGCUAGAGUGUGUCAGAGGGGGGUAGAAUUCCGCGUGUAGCAGUGAAAUGCGUAGAGAUGUGGAGGAAUACCGAUGGCGAAGGCAGCCCCCUGGGAUGGCACUGACGUUCAUGCCCGAAAGCGUGGGUAGCAAACAGGAUUAGAUACCCUGGUAGUCCACGCCCUAAACGAUGUCGAUUAGCUGUUGGGCAACUUGAUUGCUUGGUAGCGAAGCUAACGCGUGAAAUCGACCGCCUGGGGAGUACGGUCGCAAGAUUAAAACUCAAAGGAAUUGACGGA